UGGGGAAUUUUGGACAAUGGGCGCAAGCCUGAUCCAGCCAUGCCGCGUGAGUGAAGAAGGCCUUCGGGUUGUAAAGCUCUUUCGGCGGGGACGAAACGGUUCGUGCUAACACCACGGACUAAUGACGGUACCCGAAGAAGAAGCACCGGCUAACUACGUGCCAGCAGCCGCGGUAAUACGUAGGGUGCAGGCGUUAAUCGGAAUUACUGGGCGUAAAGCGUGCGCAGGCGGUUUGUUAAGACAGGUGUGAAAUCCCCGGGCUUAACCUGGGAACUGCGCUUGUUACUGGCAGACUUGAGUGUGGCAGAGGGGGGUGGAAUUCCAGGUGUAGCAGUGAAAUGCGUAGAUAUCUGGAGGAACACCGAUGGCGAAGGCAGCCCCCUGGGUUAACACUGACGCUCAUGCACGAAAGCGUGGGGAGCAAACAGGAUUAGAUACCCUGGUAGUCCACGCCCUAAACUAUGUCAACUGGUUGUCGGGGAAGCAAUUCCUUGGUAACGAAGCUAACGCGUGAAGUUGACCGCCUGGGGAGUACGGCCGCAAGGUUAA
rnacentral:rRNA from 1 species